GUGGCGCAGUUAACGCGAUAAGUCGACCGCCUGGGGAGUACGGCCGCAAGGUUAAAACUCAAAUGAAUUGACGGGGGCCCGCACAAGCGGUGGAGCAUGUGGUUUAAUUCGAUGCAACGCGAAGAACCUUACCUACCCUUGACAUCCAGAGAAGUUGGCAGAGAUGCCUUCGUGCCUUCGGGAACUCUGAGACAGGUGCUGCAUGGCUGUCGUCAGCUCGUGUUGUGAAAUGUUGGGUUAAGUCCCGUAACGAGCGCAACCCUUGUCCUUAUUUGCCAGCGAGUAAUGUCGGGAACUCUAAGGAGACUGCCGGUGACAAACCGGAGGAAGGUGGGGACGACGUCAAGUCAUCAUGGCCCUUACGGGUAGGGCUACACACGUGCUACAAUGGCCGGUACAAAGGGUUGCGAGACCGCGAGGUGGAGCGAAUCCCAGAAAGCCGGCCUCAGUCCGGAUCGGAGUCUGCAACUCGACUCCGUGAAGUCGGAAUCGCUAGUAAUCGUGAAUCAGAAUGUCACGGUGAAUACGUUCCCGGGCCUUGUACACACCGCCCGUCACACCAUGGGAGUGGACUGCACCAGAAGUGGUUAGCUUAACCUUCGGGAGAGCGAUCACCACGGUGUGGUUCAUGACUGGGGUGAAGUCGUAACAAGGUAGCCGUAGGGGAACCUGCGGCUGGAU
rnacentral:rRNA from 1 species